UGGGUGUAAAGGGCGUGUAGGCGGAGAAGCAAGUCAGAAGUGAAAUCCAUGGGCUUAACCCAUGAACUGCUUUUGAAACUGUUUCCCUUGAGUAUCGGAGAGGCAGGCGGAAUUCCUAGUGUAGCGGUGAAAUGCGUAGAUAUUAGGAGGAACACCAGUGGCGAAGGCGGCCUGCUGGACGACAACUGACGCUGAGGCGCGAAAGCGUGGGGAGCAAUCAGGAUUAGAUACCCUGGUAGUCCACGCUGUAAACGAUGAAUACUAGGUGUGGGAGGACUGACCCCUUCCGUGCCGCAGUUAACACAAUAAGUAUUCCACCUGGGGAGUACGAUCGCAAGAUUGAAACUCAAAGGAAUUGACGGGGGCCCGCACAAGCAGUGGAGUAUGUGGUUUAAUUCGAAGCAACGCGAAGAACCUUACCAGGUCUUGACAUCCAACUAACGAGAUAGAGAUAUGUUAGGUGCCCUUCGGGGAAAGUUGAGACAGGUGGUGCAUGGUUGUCGUCAGCUCGUGUCGUGAGAUGUUGGGUUAAGUCCCGCAACGAGCGCAACCCUUGCUAUUAGUUGCUACGCAAGAGCACUCUAAUAGGACUGCCGUUGACAAAACGGAGGAAGGCGGGGACGACGUCAAAUCAUCAUGCCCCUUAUGACCUGGGCUACACACGUACUACAAUGGGCGUUAACAGAGGGAAGCAAAAUAGCGAUAUGGAGCAAACCCCUAAAAACGUUCUCAGUUCAGAUUGCAGGCUGCAACCCGCCUGCAUGAAGUCGGAAUUGCUAGUAA
rnacentral:rRNA from 1 species